rnacentral:rRNA from 1 species
UACAUGCAAGUCGAGCGGCAGCGCGGGAGCAAUCCUGGCGGCGAGCGGCGGACGGGUGAGCAAUGCUUGGGAAUCUGCCCAACAGUGGGGGACAACCCGGGGAAACUCGGGCUAAUACCGCAUACGUUCUGAGGAAGAAAGCAGGGGAUCGCAAGACCUUGCGCUGAUGGAUGAGCCCAAGUCGGAUUAGCUGGUUGGUGAGGUAACGGCUCACCAAGGCGACGAUCCGUAGCUGGUCUGAGAGGACGACCAGCCACACCGGAACUGAGACACGGUCCGGACUCCUACGGGAGGCAGCAGUGGGGAAUAUUGGACAAUGGGGGCAACCCUGAUCCAGCGACGCCGCGUGGGUGAAGAAGGCCUGCGGGUUGUAAAGCCCUUUCGUUGGGGAAGAACAGUUCCGACCUAAUACGUCGGGACCUUGACGUUACCCAAAGAAGAAGCACCGGCUAACUCUGUGCCAGCAGCCGCGGUAAUACAGAGGGUGCGAGCGUUAAUCG